AGGGGUGCUUGGGGAGGACGCGACGGGAGAACGAAGCGCCUGGCAGAAUAUGCAGAUUUCCGGCUCCCACUUUUGCAAAAAGUGAUAAAUGCGUGAAGGCUACAAUAUGUAGAUAUAUUUUGAAGAAGAAUUGAACCUGCGAUCAAAAUUAUGGAUGAUUUGGAACGAUCGUUUCAAGAACUAUCAUUUGAAGUAUCAUCAAGCUUGGAGGAGGAAAGGUAUACGUUUGGUAUCGAAGAAUUGAGUGUUAGAGGUAGUGGAAGAUAUAAAUCACCAAAUUUAUGCUCUGAAUUAGAAAGGUUGUUGGACUAUUGUGAAGACUCCAAUGUCCAUGAAAAACAGACAUUAUUAAUGAGUUUACAUGGCAUUC
rnacentral:lncRNA from 1 species